CAUUAAUGGCAUUAGAGGUGCAUUCUGGGGCUGGCCCAGUCACCCCAGCCUGCAAGGCUGUGCCUGUGUUCUCCCCUGCGGGGACAGCUCUUCUCUGGAGCCACUGUGUGUCCACAGGACAGCAGCCUCUGCCUGCUUUGGUGCAUGCCUGGAAACAUGCAGGAGAAGAAAUCACUGAAGAACACAAACAGGACAGACAAAUGGGUACGAGGCACCAGCUGGCAGGCACGGUGACGGUUGAAGGCUGACAGUGCCACCCGGGACGCACUCCCGGGCCCUGGCCUCCGGGCUCUGUGUGUGUGUCUGUCUGUGAAGCAGCCGAGCACUGAGCAACCUGGAUUUAUCCGCCGUGUUAAUGCGCCGCGACCUAGAGGCCGCAAAUCUUGGCUUGGCAGCUGCGUUCCAGUUAGUUUCAGUCGUGCAGCGACAAAGGUUGGAGGACGACGUCCUCCUCCGGGCUCGCUCUGCGAAGGCGGCGGCG
rnacentral:lncRNA from 1 species